GACGAACGCUGGCGGCGUGCCUAAUACAUGCAAGUCGAACGAGAGCGACCGGUGCUUGCACUGGUCAAUCUAGUGGCGAACGGGUGAGUAACACGUGGGUAACCUGCCCAUCAGAGGGGGAUAACAUCCGGAAACGGAUGCUAAAACCGCAUAGGUCUUCGAGCCGCAUGGUUUGAAGAGGAAAAGAGGCGCAAGCUUCUGCUGAUGGAUGGACCCGCGGUGCAUUAGCUAGUUGGUGAGGUAACGACUCACCAAGGCCGUGAUGCAUAGCCGACCUGAGAGGGUGAUCGGCCACAUUGGGACUGAGACACGGCCCAAACUCCUACGGGAGGCAGCAGUAGGGAAUCUUCCGCAAUGGACGCAAGUCUGACGGAGCAACGCCGCGUGAGUGAAGAAGGUUUUCGGAUCGUAAAACUCUGUUGUUAGAGAAGAACAAGUGCUAGAGUAACUGUUAGCGCCUUGACGGUAUCUAACCAGAAAGCCACGGCUAACUACGUG
rnacentral:rRNA from 1 species